AUGUUGGAAAGUUGGCACAGGCGCUGCAUUAGUCUUGGCACAAGUUGAAUAAAGCGCGACCUUCAACGAAGAAGGCUGCACUUCCCGAUCGAACGGGACCUGGACAAAGGCGUCCUCGCUAGGUGACUAGCGGGACGCC
rnacentral:sRNA from 1 species